UGGGGAAUAUUGCACAAUGAGCGAAAAGCUUGAUGCAGCAAUACCGCGUGAGGGAUGAAGGUUUUAGAAUUGUAAACCUCUUUUUUCGGGGAAGAAUAUUUGACGGUACCCGCGGAAUAAGCAUCGGCUAAUUCUGUGCCAGCAGCCGCGGUAAUACAGGAGAUGCAAGCGUUAUCCGGAAUUAUUGGGCGUAAAGAGUGCGUAGGAUGCUGUGCGUGUCUGGUAUAAAAUUUCAAAGCUUAACUUUGA
rnacentral:rRNA from 1 species